rnacentral:rRNA from 1 species
UGGGGAAUAUUGCGCAAUGGGCGAAAGCCUGACGCAGCAACACCGCGUGAGGGAUGACGGCCUUCGGGUUGUAAACCUCUUUCAGCUCCGACGAAGCGAAAGUGACGGUAGGAGCAGAAGAAGCACCGGCUAACUACGUGCCAGCAGCCGCGGUAAUACGUAGGGUGCAAGCGUUGUCCGGAAUUAUUGGGCGUAAAGAGCUCGUAGGCGGUCCGUUGCGUCUGCCGUGAAAACCCGGAGCUCAACUCCGGGCCUGCGGUGGAUACGGGCGGACUAGAGUCCGGUAGGGGAGACUGGAAUUCCUGGUGUAGCGGUGGAAUGCGCAGAUAUCAGGAGGAACACCGGUGGCGAAGGCGGGUCUCUGGGCCGGAACUGACGCUGAGGAGC